GAGUUUGAUCCUGGCUCAGGAUGAACGCUAGCUACAGGCUUAACACAUGCAAGUCGAGGGGCAGCAUGAACUUAGCUUGCUAAGUUUGAUGGCGACCGGCGCACGGGUGAGUAACACGUAUCCAACCUGCCGAUGACUCGGGGAUAGCCUUUCGAAAGAAAGAUUAAUACCCGAUGGCAUAGUUCUUCCGCAUGGUAGAACUAUUAAAGAACUUCGGUCAUCGAUGGGGAUGCGUUCCAUUAGGUUGUUGGCGGGGUAACGGCCCACCAAGCCUUCGAUGGAUAGGGGUUCUGAGAGGAAGGCCCCCCACAUUGGAACUGAGACACGGUCCAAACUCCUACGGGAGGCAGCAGUGAGGAAUAUUGGUCAAUGGACGAGAGUCUGAACCAGCCAAGUAGCGUGAAGGAUGACUGCCCUAUGGGUUGUAAACUUCUUUUAUACGGGAAUAAAGUGAGGCACGUGUGCCUUUUUGUAUGUACCGUAU
rnacentral:rRNA from 1 species